rnacentral:misc_RNA from 1 species
AACGCACAUUGCGCCCCUUGGUAUUCCAUGGGGCAUGCCUGUUCGAGCGUCAUUUGUACCUUCAAGCUCUGCUUGGUGUUGGGUGUUUGUCCCGCCUCUGUGCGUGGACUCGCCUUAAAGCAAUUGGCAGCCGACGUAUUGUUUCGGAGCGCAACACAAAUUGCGCUUUGUAGCUAUUACGACAGCAUCCAUCAAGCCCUUUUUCACGCUUGACCUCGGAUCAGGUAGGGAUACCCGCUGAACUUAA